rnacentral:rRNA from 1 species
GACGGAGGAUGCAAGUGUUAUCCGGAAUCACUGGGCGUAAAGCGUCUGUAGGUGGUUUAAAAAGUCUACUGUUAAAAAUUGAAGCUUAACUUCAAAGAUGCCGUAGAAACUUUUAAACUCGAGGAUGGCAGGGGUAGAGGGAAUUUCCAGUGGAGCGGUGAAAUGCGUAGAUCUUGGAAAGACCACCAAUGGCGAAGGCACUCUACUGGGCCAUUACUGACACUAAGAGACGAAAGCUAGGGGAGCAAAUGGG